UGGGGAAUUUUGCACAAUGGGCGAAAGCCUGAUGCAGCAACGCCGCGUGUGUGAUGAAGGUCUUCGGAUCGUAAAGCACUUUCGACCGGGACGAACAAGCCUGGCCACACCAGGCCCUGACGGUACCGGGAGAAGAAGCACCGGCUAACUCUGUGCCAGCAGCCGCGGUAAUACAGAGGGUGCAAGCGUUGUUCGGAAUUAUUGGGCGUAAAGCGCGUGUAGGCGGCUUAGCAAGUCGGGCGUGAAAGCCCUCGGCUCAACCGAGGAAGUGCACCCGAAACUGCUGAGCUUGAGUGCCGGAGAGGAUGGCGGAAUUCCCCAAGUAGAGGUGAAAUUCGUAGAUAUGGGGAGGAACACCGGUGGCGAAGGCGGCCAUCUGGACGGUAACUGACGCUGAGACGCGAAAGCGUGGGGAGCAAACAG
rnacentral:rRNA from 1 species